GAACCCAUGGCUCAACGGUUAGAGCGUUGGAAUUCUGAUCCACGGGUCGUGGGUUCC
rnacentral:tRNA from 1 species